rnacentral:rRNA from 1 species
UACGUAGGGGGCAAGCGUUGUCCGGAAUCAUUGGGCGUAAAGAGCGCGUAGGCGGUCCGGUAAGUCCGCUCUGAAAGUCCGGGGCUCAACCCCGGGAGGCGGGCGGAUACUGUCGGGCUAGAGUCCGGAAGAGGCGAGUGGAAUUCCUGGUGUAGCGGUGAAAUGCGCAGAUAUCAGGAGGAACACCGAUGGCGAAGGCGGUUCUCUGGGCCUUACCUGACACUGAGGAGCGAAAGCGUGGGGAGCGAACAGG